rfam:Brassica napus, WGS project CCCW01000000 data, contig: 21900
AAUCCAUGAUGAGGGCAUUGAGCUUGGUAGCCUUUGAAUCUCUCCCAGGCUUCACUGAAUCCUUCCAAGCCUUUCUGUUGAAAGCUGGAGAUCUCAUUUCUCAGCUU